GUUACCAGCAAGUUGAAGGAGAUGAGGCCAUACCUGGAGUGCUGUGUACAGUGCUGGUCCCCCAGUGUGAGAGAUUCCUGGGUAUACUGGAGAGAGUUCAACAGCAGGCCAUGAAAAUGAUGAAGGGCCUGGUGCUCCUCUUCAGUAAGGAGAAGCUGAGAGAGCUGUGCACCCUACAGCCUGGAGAAGAGGAGGCUUAGCAGGAUCUCAUCGAUGACUAUAGAUACUUGCAGGGAAAGUGCGAAGAGGGUGGAGCCAGACUCUUUUCAGUUGUGCCCAGUGCCAGGACAAGAGGCAAUGGGCACAAACUGGAACACAGGAAGUUUCUGCUGAACAUCAAGAUGCACUUCUGUACUGCAUGGACAGCUGAACACUGACACAGGUUGUCUCAGCAGACUGUAGCAUCUCCAUCCUUGGAGAUAUUCAAAAGCUACAUGGACACAGUCCUGCUUGAGCAGUGAGGGUGUACCAGAUGAUCUCUGGAGGUCCAGCCUCAACCAUUCUGUGAUACUGUAGUCUUCAUCACUAAGAAGAAGUUAGAUAGCACCCAAUGAGCCUGGCCCAAUCAGCCUGACUUGUGGUUGAUUUCCACAGUUUAGAAAAGUGAAAAGUUUGUGGUAACUGAAAUAACUACUGGAGAGUGUCUUUGUCUCCUAAGACAAUCUGACUGCCUGGAGAGAAAUGGGCUGCCACACUUCAGUGUGUGUGGAUCCCAUCACUGUACUGGAAACCAUGUAUGAGAGACCUAGCUAAUCUUACCAGUGGGGAUACUGGAAGUAGCCGUUACUCAGUCAACAAGCUAGAUUAUUAUGUUUCAAAGAGACAAAGGUUUCUGAGAGCCACAAGCACUCUAUUGCUAGUGAGCUGAAAUGUAAGCUUGGGAAUUUAAUUGAUGUCAUGUUAUUUUUUUAAAGAAUUGGGUCAAGUGCCAGAACUUUUAUACAGGGAGUACUUUGAGUCAUUGCCAUCCCUGGGCAGGCUCCAAGCAGUGAUUUUUAAUAGGAUUUUGGGCUAGUGAGCCAGUGAUAAAUAAGCUUCCAUGAGUUUCUAUGUACUUCUUUCUGCCUUGCAGUUUCAUUUACCUGAGCCAGUUCUUGAACCAGCCAAUUUUCAGACAUGAUCUCAGUUCAGAUUGGUGUUGGGAAAACAAGGAAACUACAGAAUAAAAAUUCAGCAGUGAAGGAGAUAGACUGAAAGCUUCUCAGCUCCGUUGACUGUAGAAUGCCUAGGAAGAUCCAUACACAAUAAAAGGACUGGUGACAGGAUGAAACCCUAUGGAAUUGCAUAUAUGUACUUGUGCAUAUGUCAGGACUGAUGUGAUCUCUGCUGUACCAUUCUUCACAGUAGCUGAGAUGGAGAGUGGAAGAUAUUCCUUCAUGUGCUUCAAAGUACUGUAGCAGUAUUAAUUGAUAGACUGAGAGCCUGAUCUAUCUGCGGGAUCACACGAGGCCUACACUAAAAUACUUCUACUGUAUGGAAAAAUAUUUAUCUGAGGAUUUCUGGCCUGACUUUUGGAUGAAGAAAGUGUGUUGAGGACCACUUAGUUUUUGAUUUAGUGUGUGAUCCUAGGACUUCCCAUAAACAUGCAAGCCACUCUUCCUUUGGUCUAAAAACUUUGAAUCCUCUAUGAGUCACUCUUACUUCCAAUACGUUUCCAGGCCAUCUGACCCCUCCAGGAUUCUGCAGGACUUGUGUCAUUGCAUUAUACACUGCUGAGAUGAGCAUAACAGACUAUUGCAUGCAGAGCCAAUGCUGUAUUUGGGUCACAACUGGAUGGUAAAAUUUCUAAAUGCAUUCUUUAACCAUCUAAGAAUAGACUGAGUAAUGGGAAUAUUACUCAGUAAAGUCUUAGCUUGAAUCUGAUGAAUUUAAUCUUCAGAACUGUCAAAAAUCUCCACCGAACCAAGAAAAUGCCAGGAUUUCUUUGCACUGUUUGUAACUUCUGGAGUUAUCUCACCAGACAGGGAUUUCUGCCUCCUGAGAUUUCAGUCACGACAACACCUUAAGGAAGUGAAAGGAAAUUUGUCCUUAGCUGUCCAAUUAAUCCUCACUACUUUCUCUGUGUUGCUUAAGUUUUGAGUAAAUGUGAAUGGUGUAAGUAAACAGUACAUCUGAUAAAUGUAAAUUUUAUUUUUUCUGUUUGCUGGUAGUUCUAUGCCUGUGUGAUCCAUGGA
rnacentral:lncRNA from 1 species